rnacentral:rRNA from 1 species
CAUCCGCCACGGGAAUACGGAGGGUGCAAGCGUUAAUCGGAAUUACUGGGCGUAAAGCGCACGCAGGCGGUCUGACAAGUCAGAUGUGAAAUCCCCGGGCUUAACCUGGGAACUGCAUUUGAAACUGUCAGGCUGGAGUCUUGUAGAGGGGGGUAGAAUUCCAGGUGUAGCGGUGAAAUGCGUAGAGAUCUGGAGGAAUACCGGUGGCGAAGGCGGCCCCCUGGACAAAGACUGACGCUCAGGUGCGAAAGCGUGGGGAGCAAACAGGAUUAGAUACCCCAGUAGUCCCUGUCUCUUAUAC